GGCUCUUUUCCAAGAAGUGGAUUUUCAUUCAAAGUUUUUUAUCCUUCUAAUAAGACAGUAGAAGAUAGGCAUCCUAACGUGAUUUCUCAGAUAACUAUAUUUUGAAAAAGUUCCCACCACUGGUUAAGAACAAGUGACCAGGCAGGGCACGGUGGCUCACACCUGUAAUCCCAGGACUUUGGGAGACCGAGCAAACUUCAAGGCUUUUGAGAUUCUUAAAGACCAUCUGAAGAAAAUUCAUCAGUUUUCUGCUUAACUCUAUAUCUUAUGUGAUUUUGAUAUUACAAUAAAAUUAUGG
rnacentral:sRNA from 1 species